GGAAGAAGAGCUGCUUCUUGAAGCGAUCGAGGUGGUGCAGCCGCCGCACAGGGUUUUUACACAGCAGCUGAAACAAGCAACGGACACAAGCAGCAGUUACAUCAUUUGGCCACCUAAUGGCGCUGUGUGCUAUGUGAAAAUCCCAAUCGAUGGAAAAUACAGCUUAACAGCAGACAGCAGUCUCUUUCAAACAGCCGUGUGAACAGGCAGCCUUGAAUGCAAUGGUUACCUCACUGAGCAGGAGGGAGAGCUGUGGGCUGAACGUGCUCGGCAUGUCGUAUUCACUUCUCCUGACCAUCCUCAGCAUGGACGAGUGAUCCGGCUCCGCGGAGACAGGGAACUGGGUGAAGACACAGGGAAAGAGACACUAAGACAAGGGCAUUGUUAGGAGACCACAGAGUCCCAGAGUUUUCCAGGGUAAACUUUGCGUUUCUAUUUGCCUCUGCAGUUCUGUUAAGAGAUGCAAGUUGAGACUUGUCCUGAAUUGUUCCUCUGCUUAAUUGCAUUUACUAAAAACAGUACAAACACCAGCUUGUCAAAGCUUGCUUUGUAAGCCUUUAUGGACGAGUGACAAAUAAACAGGCAUGCUGUUCACUGAAAGAAAAACACUGGCUCUAAAUACCUUGAUGUCACAUUCCAGCACUUAAUGGCAGCUCUACACAUUUGCCAUGGUAUUGUAAAAGGACAGAAAUUGCAGUAAAGUACAGGAAAGCACUGUCAAGUACAGAGUGGUAAAGCAUAUUAAAAACUACAGCAGACCAGGCUAAACUAUUGCAAACGCACACUCUCCACUGCAGCUUCUAUGGCCCGGGCUGACAAAAAAAAAAGAA